AACGAACGCUGGCGGCAGGCUUAACACAUGCAAGUCGAACGCCCCGCAAGGGGAGUGGCAGACGGGUGAGUAACGCGUGGGAAUCUACCCAUCUCUACGGAAUAACUCAGGGAAACUUGUGCUAAUACCGUAUACGCCCUUUGGGGGAAAGAUUUAUCGGAGAUGGAUGAGCCCGCGUUGGAUUAGCUAGUUGGUGGGGUAAAGGCCUACCAAGGCGACGAUCCAUAGCUGGUCUGAGAGGAUGAUCAGCCACACUGGGACUGAGACACGGCCCAGACUCCUACGGGAGGCAGCAGUGGGGAAUAUUGGACAAUGGGCGAAAGCCUGAUCCAGCAAUGCCGCGUGAGUGAUGAAGGCCUUAGGGUUGUAAAGCUCUUUUACCCGGGAUGAUAAUGACAGUACCGGGAGAAUAAGCCCCGGCUAACUCCGUGCCAGCCGCCGCCGUAACAC
rnacentral:rRNA from 1 species